AUUGAACGCUGGCGGCAUGCCUUACACAUACAAGUCGAACGGCAGCACGGGAGCAAUCCUGGUGGCGAGUGGCGAACGGGUGAGUAAAGUAUCGGAACGUGCCCAGUCGUGGGGGAUAACGUAGCGAAAGUUACGCUAAUACCGCAUACGAUCUAUGGAUGAAAGCGGGGGAGCGCAAGACCGCGCGCGAUUGGGGCGGCCGAUAUCAGAUUAGGUAGUUGGUGGGGUAAAGGCUCACCAAGCCGACGAUCUGUAGCUGGUCUGAGAGGACGACCAGCCACACUGGGACUGAGACACGGCCCAGACUCCUACGGGAGGCAGCAGUGGGGAAUUUUGGACAAUGGGCGCAAGCCUGAUCCAGCCAUGCCGCGUGCAGGAUGAAGGCCUUCGGGUUGUAAACUGCUUUUGUACGGAACGAAAAGGUUUGGCUUAAUACGUUGGACUCAUGACGGUACCGUAAGAAUAAGCACCGGCUAACUACGUGCCAGCCGCCGCCGUAA
rnacentral:rRNA from 1 species